rnacentral:rRNA from 1 species
GACGAACGCUGGCGGCGUGCUUAACACAUGCAAGUCGAACGGAAAGGCCCUGCUUUUGUGGUGUGCUCGAUUGGCGAACGGGUGAGUAACACGUGAGUAACCUGCCCUUGACUUUUGGAUAACUUCAGGAAACUGGGGCUAAUACCGGUUAGGAGCUCCUGCUGCAUGGUGGGUGUUGGAAAGUUUCGGCGGUUGGGGAUGGACUCGCGGCUUAUCAGCUUGUUGGUGGGGUAGUGGCUUACCAAGGCUUUGACGGGUAGCCGGCCUGAGAGGGUGACCGGCAAAAUUGGGACUGAGAUACGGGCCAGACUACUAAGGGAGGCAGCAGUGGGGAAUAUUGCACAAUGGGCGGAAGCCUGAUGCAGCAACGCCGCGUGAGGGAUGACGGACUUCGGGUUGUAAACAGCUUUCGCCUGUGACGAAGCGUGAGUGAAGGUAAUGGGUAAAGAAGCACCGGCUAACUACGUG